rnacentral:rRNA from 1 species
AUUGAACGCUGGCGGCAGGCCUAACACAUGCAAGUCGGGCGAGAGGCGGACGGGCGAGUAAUGUAUGGGGAUCUGCCUGAUGGCGGGGGAUAACUCCUGGAAACGGUAGCUAAUACCGCAUACCAUCAGAUGAACCCUUAUGGGAUUAGCUAGUCGGUAAGGUAACGGCUUACCUAGGCGACGAUCCCUAGCUGGUCGGAGAGGAGGAUCGGCCACACUGGGACUGAGACACGGCCCAGACUCCUACGGGAGGCAGCAGUGGGGAAUAUUGCACAAUGGACGCAAGCCUGAUGCAGCCAUGCCGCGUGUAUGAAGAAGGCCUUCGGGUUGUAAAGUACUUUCGGUCGGGAGGCGUUACCGACAGAAAAAGCACCGGCUAACUCCGUGCCAGCAGCCGCGGUAAUAC